UGUCGACCGCGUAAAAGUUAACUCAUAUUUGUAUGGAGUUGGAACGUUUGCCGCUAGAGGUGCUGUUUCAGCUGCAUACAAAUUUGAGUUAACUUUUACGCUAUCGA
rnacentral:pre_miRNA from 9 species